CUGCCGUGUAAGUCCAUCGGGAAAUCGACCAGCUCAACUGGUCGGCGUCCGGUGGAAACUGCACGGCUUGGGGCCGAGAGACUCGACGGGUACGUCCGGGGUAGGAGUGAAAUCCCGUAAUCCUGGACGGACCACCAAUGGCGAAAGCACGUCGAGAGACCGGACCCGACGGUGAGGGACGAAAGCCAGGGUCUCGAACCGGAUUAGAUACCCGGGUAGUCCUGGCUGUAAACGAUGCUCGCUAGGUAUGCCACGCACUAUGAGUGCGUGGUGUGCCGCAGUGAAGACGAUAAGCGAGCCGCCUGGGAA
rnacentral:rRNA from 1 species